AGUGAACGCUGGCGGUAGGCCUAACACAUGCAAGUCGAACGGCAGCACAGUAAGAGCUUGCUCUUACGGGUGGCGAGUGGCGGACGGGUGAGGAAUACAUCGGAAUCUACUUUUUCGUGGGGGAUAACGUAGGGAAACUUACGCUAAUACCGCAUACGACCUACGGGUGAAAGCAGGGGAUCUUCGGACCUUGCGCGAUUGAAUGAGCCGAUGUCGGAUUAGCUAGUUGGCGGGGUAAAGGCCCACCAAGGCGACGAUCCGUAGCUGGUCUGAGAGGAUGAUCAGCCACACUGGAACUGAGACACGGUCCAGACUCCUACGGGAGGCAGCAGUGGGGAAUAUUGGACAAUGGGCGCAAGCCUGAUCCAGCCAUACCGCGUGGGUGAAGAAGGCCUUCGGGUUGUAAAGCCCUUUUGUUGGGAAAGAAAAGCAGCAGGUUAAUACCCCGCUGUUCUGACGGUACCCAAAGAAUAAGGACCGGCUAACUUCGUG
rnacentral:rRNA from 1 species